UGAGGAAUAUUGGGCAAUGCCCGCAAGGGUGACCCAGCAACGCCGCGUGGAGGAUGAAUGUCGUAAGAUUGUAAACUCCUGUUAGAGGGGAAGAAUAGUACCGGUUGGACCGGUAUAUGACUGUACCCUCAGAGAAAGCCCCGGCUAACUACGUGCCAGCAGCCGCGGUAAUACGAGGGGAGCUAGCGUUGUUCGGAAUUACUGGGCGUAAAGCGCGCGUAGGCGGUUUUUUAAGUCAGAGGUGAAAGCCCGGGGCUCAACCCCGGAAUAGCCUUUGAAACUGGAAAACUAGAAUCUUGGAGAGGUCAGUGGAAUUCCGAGUGUAGAGGUGAAAUUCGUAGAUAUUCGGAAGAACACCAGUGGCGAAGGCGACUGACUGGACAAGUAUUGACGCUGAGGUGCGAAAGCGUGGGGAGCAAACA
rnacentral:rRNA from 1 species